AAUGAAGAAAUUUUUCUUGUUUCUUGAAAAAAUUUUGUAGAUGUUUUCUUGAAAAAUGUAGAAUUUUGAUUUUAUUCACUCUUGAUUGUCAACAGAUGGUAUAACAUAAUUUCGUUGAUUUACGUCUUGAUGAUGCAAUGGUUUUUGAUUUUGAUGAGAAUCUUGAAAGGUUGUAAAUUGUUUGUGAUUUUUGGAUCAAGAAAUUGAUGUUUUUUCUUGUUUCUUGAAAAAGUUUCCAUGGUUUACGUCUUGAUUUUGAUGAGAAUCUUGAGAGGUUGUAAAUUGUUUGUGAUUUUUGGAUGAAGAAAUUGAUGUUUUUUCUUGUUU